CAUGGUAGCUGGUUGCUGGGCUGCCCUCGGGAAUGGAUUGAAUGGGUCAGGAAUCAGAAGCAGGAUUUUCCUGCGUGCCCCCCUGGCCUGGGUCAGAAGGCUAAUGCAUUUUGGAGAAAGGAUCCAGAAAGAUUUCUCGCUUCUCCUAAAGGCAAGCAGAACAACUUUUCCCCACCAGAGAAAGCCUGGAAUCCGAGCUGGUUUCUUGUGAGGUUAGCAUCCAGGAAAGGGUGAAUGAACUGCGUCGGGGGAAGUCUAAGCCGGUUCCAAGAUAGAGAGAACCUUUGGCAUCCAUCAUACCAGCCCUGCCUUCUCCAAAGGACUUCACAAAAUAGCACCAAAGGGCUUCAAGCAAAGGGAUGGUAACGUCUGGAUUACCGUAUUUCAUCAAGUUUAAGAUGCUGUCAGUUAUAAGAUGAACCAUUUUUAAAUGUACCACAGAGGGGAAAAAAGUUGCCAAAUAAAGACGUCAUCAGUUAUAAGCUGAU